CAUGUACUCCCUUCGUCCGAAAAUACUUGUCAUCAAAAUGGAUAAAAAUAGAUGUAUCUAGAACUAAAAUACGUCUAGAUGCAUCCCCUUUUAUCCAUUUUGAUGACAAGUAUUUCCGGACGGAGGGAGUAGUAG
rnacentral:pre_miRNA from 1 species